rnacentral:rRNA from 1 species
AUGCGGCCUCUCCUCAGCGCCGCCGCCGUCCUCCUCCUCCUCCUCCUCCCCCUCGCCGCCGGCCAGCGAUUCCGCGGCUUCUCCUACCUCCUCGACUGCGGCGCCGCGGCCCCCUCCACCGACAGCCGCGGCCUCCGCUGGGACCCCGACGGCCCCUACGUCUCCGCCGGCUCCGCCCGUCCGCUCUCGGUCCAGGGCCUCCUCGACCCCACCCUCGCCUCCCUCCGCGUCUUCCCGUAUCGCCCCGCCGCCAAGUUCUGCUACGCGCUCCCCGUCGACCCCAAUCGCCGCUACCUCCUCCGCCCGACCUUCUUCUACGGCCCCUCCUCGACGGCCCCGCCCGUGUUCGACCUCAUCGUCGACGGCACCUUCUGGACCGCCGUCGACACCGCCGAUGACAUCCUGGCCGGCAGCGCCUCGCACUACGAGGCCGUGUUCCCGGCCAGGGGCAGGAACUUGACCUUCUGCCUCGGCGUCAACCCCGACUACACCGACUCCGGCCCGUUCAUCAACGCGCUGCAGGUCAUCCAGCUCCAUGAUUCGGUGUACAACGCCACGGAUUUCACGGGCAGCGCCAUGGGCCUCAUUGCGCGCACCAAGUUUGGCUCCACUGGCGACGUCGAGAGGUACCCUGAUGACAGUUUUGACCGCUAUUGGCAGCCAUUUCCAGACAGCAAACAUGCAGUCAGUAGUACCCACAACGUUACAUCAGCCGAUUUCUGGAAUCUUCCUCCUCCUGAUGUAUUUAAUACAGCUUUGGUAGCAGAACAAAAUGCACCAUUGGUGUUGCAAUGGCCUCCAAUAUCUCUUCAGAAUGGCAGCUAUUAUGUUUCCCUUUAUUUUGCUGAUACAUUGGCUAAUAGUUCGAGGACCUUGGAUGUGAAUAUUAAUGAUUACCAGUUUUACGAAGGGACAGUAACAUCAGCUGGUCUUUCUGUCUUUGCAACUCAAUGGAUUCUCUCAGGCCUAACCAGAGUUAUAUUGACUUCUAAGUCUGUUCUUCCACCACUUAUCAAUGCUGGCGAAGUCUUUGGAAUUUUUCCCAUUGGAAGACUGACAAUUACACGUGAUGCGCUUGCUAUGGAGAGUAUGAAGAGAAGCCUCCAAAACAUACCUGAUGAUUGGAUUGGAGAUCCAUGUAUGCCUCAUGGAUAUGCUUGGACUGGAGUUACAUGUCAAGAAGGACAAAAUGAAAAUAUACGUGUCAUUUCAUUGAACUUUUCAAGUAUGGGUAUCUCCGGAUCUCUGUCACCUGACAUUGCAAACCUGACUGCUCUUACUGAUAUAUCUUUUGCAAACAAUAGCUUGUCUGGAACUAUUCCUGAUCUCAUCAAUCUGGGUAAACUCCAACGACUGUACCUGAAUGAUAACAAGUUGAAUGGAAAAAUAGCUCAGACGUUGGGGACAAUUCAGCCCUUGCGUGAACUAUUCUUGCAAGGCAAUGAGCUGGGUGGAGCAGUUCCACAGAACUUGCUGAACAAAACGGGGUUGACUAGCAAAUUUUGUCCGGGCAAUCAGUUCACACAACCACCGUGCUGA